rnacentral:rRNA from 1 species
GAUGAACGCUGGCGGCGUGCCUAAUACAUGCAAGUCGAGCGAACAGACGAGGAGCUUGCUCCUCUGACGUUAGCGGCGGACGGGUGAGUAACACGUGGAUAACCUACCUAUAAGACUGGGAUAACUUCGGGAAACCGGAGCUAAUACCGGAUAACAUGUUGAACCGCAUGGUUCAACAGUGAAAGACGGUUUUGCUGUCACUUAUAGAUGGAUCCGCGCCGCAUUAGCUAGUUGGUAAGGUACCGGCUUACCAAGGCAACGAUGCGUAGCCGACCUGAGAGGGUGAUCGGCCACACUGGAACUGAGACACGGUCCAGACUCCUACGGGAGGCAGCAGUAGGGAAUCUUCCGCAAAGGGCGAAAGCCUGACGGAGCAACGCCGCGUGAGUGAAGAAGGUCUUCGGAUCGUAAAACUCUGUUAUUAGGGAAGAACAAAUGUGUAAGUAACUAUGCACGUCUUGACGGUACCUAAUCAGAAAGCCACGGCUAACUACGUG